CUCCCGAUAGGUAGGCACACCGCACAAGUCGCCCCCACCUACCUUCGUUCUAUCGUGUGAUCCCUGAUCCAGAUUCCUCCUGUUCGUCUCCGUCCUCGCCGCCUCAACUACGCCCCGUGAUCUCGAUGUCGAGGACUUCCCCAUCUCUCCAGCACCUCCCUCCACUCCCACCCAGACCAAUCUAGGAUACGCCCCCAAACGCCAGCCCUGCGGCAUCGACGGAGCGUGACAAUGUCGACCGCCCGGCGAGGCGGCGACUUGCCGGACCAGAUGGUGCGGAACCUUCUGGAGCAGGAGAGUCUUCAUCGGAGGCAAGACCACCUGCAGCUCCUUCAUCUCCAUCCUCGUAGCCGCCGUCAGCUUGUUCGUGCUUGUCCAUCGAUUCUGCCAGUACCACAUCCUCGCCAAGGACUUCUCCAACCUCAACGCCAUGGUAAUUUUGUAUUCUCUCGCCUCUCUCUUUGCUUGCUGCCAGUUCACUCGAUCAGCCUAGGUUGUUGGUAUUUGCGAGACAGGCAAACACUCAUGCUGGCUAUUAAAAUGGAGACUUUCAAUUUUGGGUGUUUUCGUAGGUAUGUGGUACUACUUUGUGAUAUGUGGCUGGUUGAUGAACCCUGUAUAUUCCCAAUCCUUUGGAACAGAGAUUCUACUUGCGUUGGUUAGAUGCUGGAUUUCAUCUUAUACCUUCCUUGGAAGGUGACAACAGAAGAUAAGAGUGUAGUAGCAGCUGCUGCUAGCAGCCUAACGCUGGAGCACUUGGUGUAGCGCCGCAGCAUUGGUCUUCACAACAGUGUGUUUGCUGCGCACCGUCUUCCAUGACGCGUUGAUCUUCAGAGUCUUUGAACCUGGCGUCACAACUCAUGUGAGUCAACCUUAAACUUAAGGUAUAUCAUUACAAAUUUAUAUUGUUGUUAGGACUUUUAAAGAUUGCCAGUCAGUGUUUUUGUUCAAUCUACUUAAAUGUGCUAGCAAGUGCUUGUGAAAUGAAUCCAUCAUUCUUUACAGGACAAAAAUUUCUUACAUAUUCAUCUUUGGGAGUAGGGGUGCAGAGCGGCGUGCCGUGAAGUCCCAGAAAAGUGCCCAGCUAGUGCAAAAUACUCUAACGCACUCUGAUCAAGCUAAAACAGAAUUUUCUCAUUUUGAACUAGAAGUGGGGCGGAUCGGGCACCGCCCUGCAUCCCUAUUUGGGAGAAAGUUCAGGGCAUAUAUAGCGGGCUACUUCUGUAGAAGGAGGUACAACAUGAAUAAUGUUGGAUUGUAAAGCUGUAGGUGAUUUAAGUGACAUCAUCUGCAGUGUAAUUCAAAAAAUCAUGUUGAAAAAGAUUUUGUAUUCACUCAGAUUACUAUUGUUGUCAAUCAUAUAUAUGUAUUUAAAUGAAAAUCACUAGAAAACACACUUGUUAACAUUUAAUACAGCCACCUGAUUUAGCUUUGUGCGAAUUAUUUUCUAUCAACUUCAAGUAUUUCUGGACAUUUUUAAAUCUCUGCAUUUAUAUAUGCACUGUUUUGGUAACUUCAGAUCUGUGUUUGCAAUGAAGCAUGCUCUAUUUGUCGGCGGACAUAUUUUUUGGGCAUUUACCUCCUUCAUUAUAUUCUUUGUAAGGUGUUUAUUAACUAAUUAACAUAUGAAUGGUCUAUUCAUAAGGCUCUCUUUUCUCUGUCUAUAGAGUUGAGUGCUAUGGCUGGGACUGUAAAGAAGUGUUCAAAUUAUGAUAGAUCAAAGCCCUUCACAGGUGAUGACGUAUGUUGGAUGAUGGAAUGAUUAUUCUGUUCUGGUGCUUGCUUUGACUUGGGUGUUCAGAGAAGUAAAACUUUGAAGUAACGUCUUUAGUGAAGCAACAUAUUGUAUCUGAAGUGAAACUUUCUCUUUGAUACGGAGAUGCGAGCAUCAAACUAACAUCCAUCUAAAGAUAAGAUUGCCAAUAUAAAUCGAUGAUGCAUGGCUCGGAAGUUGGUUGCAAAAUCACGAAGGUGGCUACUUGUUUUAGAUUAGGUUAUUAGAAUGUCAUUCAGGUCAAUGUUUCAAACAUUAUGUUUUAGAUGGCUGACAUGUUGAUUGCAAGGUUGAGAAUCAGACUACUACUAGAUAGUUUCACAUACUGUAAUCUUUGUAUCAUGCUCUUUGUAAAGCAACCGAGUUGAUUUAAUAUAUGUGACCUUUCUAAUUAUUAUAUUUGUGUCUCCUAUGCACUAUCAACAUUAACAUAAUAAUUUAGAAUUUUUAUAUGCAAAAUAAAUUAAUUGUCCAAGCUAUGCUUCUAGGAAUUAUAAGGAUAUUUUUCUGGGCAGCCACCAACGCAUACAUAGUGUUGUUAAGCUCUAGCUCUAUACGUUGCAGCCUUACAACACAUAUUCAUGCUGCUUACCAACGUAUUUAUAUAUGUUGUUGUAGACCUUUGCAACGCCACCAACGACAACGCAUAUAAAUCCGUUGGUGUAGACCUUAGCAACGCUUAUAUGGACAUACGACAACACAUCAAUGCGUUGCUUAAGGGGGUUCUUGUUGUAGUGACUAGACAAUGUAUCAAGACCACACACAAGCUCUGGAAAUAUUCGGAAAGCCCAAACAUUUAUUUAAAUUAAAAUGUAUCAAUUAACCGUUGCCAGCUCAGUUUUAACUAGGUUAGGGGAAUUUUAAUAAAUCAAAUAAUGUUGGCUUAAUCAUGAUAAUUAGUUAAUGAAUAUUUGCAACACGACCAACAUUUUUAUUUGACAGUUUGAAGAAAUAAGAAUUUGACUUGUUAUUUGAAACUUGAAUUUGACUCGGUUUUCAUCAAGUGGCAGAAUGGCUUUAACAAAACAUGAUGACAUGGCACAUUAGGGUGAGCUUACUGUAGCUCAAUUUUCCGGGCGUCACAAUUCUCCUCCACUACAAGAAAUCUCGUCCCGAGAUUUAAGAGGUCUUCAUGAUGAAUUUGCCAUCCUUUCUUCGGGAAUUCGUCUUACGAAUGCGAUAAGAGGGAAAAAAACUCUAGAAGAACACAUCUCCAUAAAGGUGGGCAUCUGACGGUGAACUUGGGGAAGAAGGCAUGGAUUAUUUCUCGAGUUAUAACUCAGGGAACUCAUUGAGAGCAAUAUGCGAUGGUAGAAAAGUUUCGAACGGGCAGGCAAUCAUUCGAUGCCUAAUCAGAAGGUGAAAAAGGGGGUUCAGAGCAAAAGGGAAAAAAUGUGUUGGAUACUAGAAUAGAUCAUCUCUAGAAGGUGGCUCGUGAUUUUCAUACGAAGCCAAGUGUGAGGAAUAACUUUAGAAACAUUGAUGUACAAGAGGUCGGGUUUCGAUCAUGGGACCUGUGGGUUAUGGGCCCACCAUGUGGGUUAAAAGUAGGAAGAGCGAUGACAUCUUGCACAAACAUGUACGCAAGACAUGUCAGAAGAUAGCCUGUCGAUUAUGUCAACAACAACAUUGGUACC